rnacentral:rRNA from 1 species
UUCCGGUUGAUCCUGCCGGAGGCGACCGCUGUGGGAGUCCGAUUAAGCCAUGCGAGUCGAGAGAAUUAGAUUCUCGGCAUACCGCUCAGUAACACGUGGAUAACCUGCCCUGUGCUGGGGGAUAACCUCGCGAAAGUGAGAACAAUACCCCAUGGGUCACUACGCCUGGAACGGUGAGUGGCUGAAAGCUCCGGCGGCACAGGAUGGGUCUGCGGCGUAUCAGGUUGUAGGGGGUGUAACGGACCUCCUAGCCUUCAACGCGUACGGGUUGUGAGAGCAAUUGCCCGGAGAUGGAUUCUGAGACACGAAUCCAGGCCCUACGGGGCGCAGCAGGCGCGAAAACUUGACAAUGCGAGAAAUCGUGAUCAGGGGACUCCAGUUGGCUGGACCAAAAGUCCAGUCUGAACCGACUUUAAAUCGGUCGGGUAAUAGGGGCGGGAAAGACCGGUGCCAGCCGCCGCGGUAAUACCGGCGCCCCAAGUGGUCGUCACUAUUAUUGGGCCUAAAACGUCCGUAGCCGGUUUGGUAAAUCCGUGGGUAAAUCAGACAGCCUAACUGUCUGAAUUCUGCGGGGACUGCCAAACUUGAGACCGGGAGAGGUACGGGGUACCUGCGGGGUAGCGGUAAAAUGCGAUCAUCCCGUAGGGACCACCUGUUGCGAAGGCGCCGUACUAGAACGGAUCUGACGGUCAGGGACGAAGCCUAGGGGCACGAACCGGAUUAGAUACCCGGGUAGUCCUAGGUGUAAACGCUGUGGACUUGGUGUCGGGAAUCUCUAGAGGAUUCUCGGUGCCGUAGUGAAGAUGUUUAGUCCACUGCCUGGGGAGUACGGUCGCAAGGCUGAAACUUAAAGGAAUUGGCGGGGGAGCACUGCAACGAGAGGAGCGUGCGGUUUAAUUGGAUUCAACGCCGGG